CCUCCUUACCAUCCCAAACAUUCGAUCAAAGCAAUCCAUCAACCACCGAAUUUUUUCACUUAAAUUAUUUUUAAAUUUCCAAUUACCAACGUAACUGAAGUUGUCGUUCAACAUAUCCAACGGCUCCCGUUUUACCGCUCGUCUUUAUUCUUAGAGACGGAUCCCAUUACCCCAAAACCCUAAUAAUUUCUCUUUGACAUGGCCGCCCUCAUUUCCUUUUCCUCUCUCUUUUUUCACAUCCCUCCCAACCUAUCGGUUAUGGAAAACUUGCAUGAAUUAGUGCAAUGUCACAAGACCUUCAGCAAAUCGUCAUUCCAUGCUUCUUCAUCCCUGAAUCCAGCUAAUUCUCCCUCUUUGCUCUUCAAAUAUGAGAGAUUAGACACGGACAGUAAGGUUGAAACCCUAUUCUUCGUUCUUUCAAAUGAAACUUACAGAUUCGCCUCUUUUUUCCCUAGGAGAUGAAAACAGUGACUCCAGUUUCCAUUCUCGUCGAUUGAAUUCAAAAACCCAAUUUGAUACCCUAGACCUAAAUGAUGAAACUUCAUUUCAUCUAGUUUCUCAACUCGUUCUUCCAAAUCGGAGCAUGCAUGUUUACGUCAGAUCUUCAUCAUGAAUAUUUUGUACCUAGAGGUAAAACGUAGUGACCUAUGGGUCUUUGGUCUUUGUCUGAUAGGUUUUCUUUAAAACAGUCAAUUGCUCAGUUACUAUGCUUAGGUUGAAGUAUAUAUUUCAUAAAAUUGAUCUAAUAAAAUUGCUCAAUUACUAUGCUUAGGUUGAAGCCUUCUUCCUUUUUCCUCGGCUAGUAUUUCAGCAGCGACUUAAGCUAAUCCAAGUAUUAAAUUGUAAUUUAUCAUCCUAGCAACUUAACCAACAUAUAAGCAAAGCUUAAGCACAAUCAGUAGGUUGUUAUACUCACCAGUAGCAACAACUUGGAAUUUUAGCAAAACACAGCCCACAACAAUCCUCAAUGACAACACAACCUCAAAGACAAAGAGGUGUUGUUCUUCACAAGAACUAAGUUUU
rnacentral:lncRNA from 1 species